CCUACGGGUGGCAGCCGUGAGGAAUAUUGGUCAAUGGACGAGAGUCUGAACCAGCCAAGUAGCGUGAAGGAUGACUGCCCUAUGGGUUGUAAACUUCUUUUAUAUGGGAAUAAAAUGUUCCACGUGUGGGAUUUUGUAUGUACCAUAUGAAUAAGGAUCGGCUAACUCCGUGCCAGCAGCCGCGGUAAUACGGAGGAUCCGAGCGUUAUCCGGAUUUAUUGGGUUUAAAGGGAGCGUAGGUGGAUUGUUAAGUCAGUUGUGAAAGUUUGCGGCUCAACCGUAAAAUUGCAGUUGAAACUGGCAGUCUUGAGUACAGUAGAGGGGGGCGGAAUUCGUGGUGUAGCGGUGAAAUGCUUAGAUAUCACGAAGAACUCCGAUUGCGAAGGCAGUUCACUGGACUGCAACUGACACUGAGGCUCGAAAGUGUGGGUAUCAAACAGGAUUAGAUACCCGUGUAGUC
rnacentral:rRNA from 1 species